rnacentral:rRNA from 1 species
CCCUUAGAUGUUCUGGGCCGCACGCGCGCUACAAUGAUGAAUUCAACGAGUUUAUAACCUUGGUUGAAAAGCCUGGGUAAUCUUUUGAACUUUCGUCGCGAUGGGGCUAGACCCUUGCAAUUAUUGGUCUCCAACGAGGAAUUCCUAGUAAACGCAAGUCAUCAGCUUGCAUUGAUUACGUCCCUGCCCUUUGUACACACCGCCCGUCGCACCUACCGAUUGAAUGGUCCGGUGAAAUCUUCGGAUUGAGACUUUGAUUUCUUCACGGAAAACGCUGUUUUAAAAAGUUGAUUAAACCUUACCAUUUAGAGGAAGGUGAAGUCGUAACA